ensembl:lncRNA
CUGUGGGCCAUUUCAAAACUGAGCUCUUAAUGAUUCCACACCUAAUUUAUUUUGAGCAGGAAUGAAAUGCCUUGAAUUAUGAAAAUAAUUUCCUUUUACUUUUGGGGACCAUGUUUCAGAGUUCAGUCACUAAAUACAGUAGGUAAAUAAAGAUGCUCAGGAAGUUUAUGUACUAAAAUAUAGAAAUGUACCUGUGUUCUUGGCUGGCCAAAAAUUGAGUUAUAGCUUGCAGUAGCAAUAUUUUGAGAAAAGAAAGGACUAAGAUGUUUAUUCUUUAGUGUGAUAGCUGGUGAGAUGUAUAAAUAGAUGUUUCAGUGGGCAUUCAGGCACACCAAUUUGUUUUUCGGCUCAUCCGUUAUGGAGAGCUUCAGGAAAUCUGCUGGUAUGCUUACGUUGAUAGACUUUUCUGUGAAGCAUGUUCAAGCACACCUGGAGGGGGGGCCGGGUUGGCCUUGGCUCCACUGGAAACACAGUGUCAUUGUCUCAACAAGAUGCUAUGAUGCCAGCAAAAGAUCAGUACCUUGACGAGGAGCUGCUGGCUCAAAACCACGGAAGGAAGCACAUAGCUCAGGAGUGUCUUCCUACCUGCAGAGGAGGACUCAGGGAGCGCCUCCUUUGUCAACAGUGUUUCCAUCCAUUGCACCAUAAUAAAUGACGUUUGUAUUACUAAUAAUGACUAUUCAAGAAAGAGCAAGUGUCUCCUGAGGUUGCUUUUAAUACCUCUUUAUGGGAUUGCAAUAAAAGGUGUCCCUGGAGUCUGCCAGCAAAACAGCUGUUGAGUAGAGGGGUUGGUUCUGCUCAGUGCUGUAAUGGUUUGGUAAUCUCAUUCUCCAGGAUCAAGCCAAUUACCACUUGCAGCAUGCCCAGGUGUCAGCCAGCUGAAGAUCAAAGCGUUCCGGCCUUCUGUUUGAACAUGACUCAUUUUCAUGUCAGCAUGACCACUGGGCAACUAAUGUGAAUCUGGCAUUUUUGGGACCUAUCUACUUUGAGAGUAGCGUUAGUGUUUUAGGAGGCAAAGUCUGUUUAUUCCAGUCACUGCGACACUGAUGGCUUUAAGAUUAUCAUGUAAAAAGAUAAUCCACAAAAAAUAAAAAAAAAUGAUCCUUCUUGAAGUUUGAGAAGCCCAUUCUGCUGCACCCAGCAGUGCUACACUUGGCUGUAGGUGGGUAAUGGAAGGAAGUGGAGAUUUCGGCUUGAGAGGACUAAAAAUUCUUCAUGUUUCUUUAUCUAUUUCAAAAGAUUUUUGCCAAUUCGUAUCUUCCCUAUACAUGCAUGCUGGAAAUUUAGCAAAAGCAUGUUGACUCAGAAAAAGAUUUUUCCUAACUCCAGCGCUAUGAUAGUUGUGCCCAUACAAACCCAUAUAAAAGCUGCCUGAACAGCAGUAGUCAGCCAUGCCAAAUACAUUCAGCUGUUUACUUUCAAGAUAAGCAGUGCUGCGGGGAUCUUGGCAUACAGCCCCCACUAUUUGAAAGCUGAGGAAAUUCCCACUGGGCCUGCAACCAAACGGUUUCUUGCAGCCAUUUCAUGGGCUUUUACUGCUGUGGUGUUCUGAAGCGCUGGUGGUUAGCAGCCUCUCACUGCUCAGGAAUCCAGCUGAGCUGCUUCACAGAGCGCUGCUCAGCUUUCCUCCACUGCAAACGCAAUUCAGCCACUCCCAGCUGUGUUCUGCCCACUUACGGCAAUGAUUAAUUUCCUUCCCAAGACUUCAAUAUAAAAGUAAUCUUCCCUGAGUGAUGUGCCGCGUUUCUGUUCCUUUUUGCUACAUUUUUUAAUAUCAAGGCUGUGAAUGCUUGUUUUUUCACAUUAGAAUUUUCAGAAAUAUCAUGUCUUAACUUCCCAUUUUUAAUCUCGUGGCCCUACAGAAACAGACCAAAGGCAAUUCUGUACCUGAAAAUUGUAUUUUUAUGUAUUUUUAUUUCAUCUCUUUAUACGGGAAAUACUACAUAUUGACUCAUGCCUAAUUGCUUAAUACCUAGUAAUAAAAAGUUGUUUGUAAAGCCUGAGUAAAACCUGCUUUCCAUCAUGAUAAUUCAUUUUUCAACUGCUUUGUGUUUCUAUUGUUUGUUAUUUCUAGGCUGUACUGAGAGCACUGUAGGGACUGGCACCUGAUUAUGGUAGUAAAG